UACGUAGGGUGCGAGCGUUGUCCGGAAUUAUUGGGCGUAAAGAGCUCGUAGGCGGUGUGUCGCGUCGGUCGUGAAAACUUGGGGCUUAACCCUGAGCUUGCGGUCGAUACGGGCAUCACUGGAGUUCGGCAGGGGAGACUGGAAUUCCUGGUGUAGCGGUGAAAUGCGCAGAUAUCAGGAGGAACACCGGUGGCGAAGGCGGGUCUCUGGGCCGAUACUGACGUGGAGGAGCGAAAGCGUGGGGAGCGAACAGG
rnacentral:rRNA from 1 species